rnacentral:rRNA from 1 species
GCUUUCGUUGGUAGUGUAUUGGACUACCAUGGCUCUCACGGGUAACAGGGAAUUAGGGUUCGAUUCUGGAGAAGGAGCCUGAGAAACGGCUACUACAUCUACGGAAGGCAGCAGGCGCGUAAAUUACCCAAUCCUGACUCAGGGAGGUGGUGACAAGAUAUAACAACGCGAUUUAUAUCGCGAUUGUAGUGAGGGUAUUCUAAACAGAACCUAUAGUACGAUUAGAGGGCAAG